UAGCAGAAGGAUUUAAAAUCUCCCAUAAUCAGUAUCUGAAGAGAGAUCUGACCCUCACCAUCCCUGUAGCUGAUUACAGUAAGAGGAACAUAUACACGUGUCAGUGUGAUGGCAAAGACGUUAAUGAUGUGCGUCUCAGCAUCGAGUCCAUCAGAUCACCAGUUCAGGUGAAUCCUGGUGAAGAUCUACAGCUGAAUUUACACAUAUCAGACCAAGUGGAGGUGAUCUUUAAACACAGAAAUUCAACAGAUCCACAUGGUGUACAGAUCUGCAGUGUGUAUAAAAGCUCACUAAACUGUACAGCUGAAUACACACAGAGAACAUCACUCACUAACACACUUCUUACACUGAGAGGAGUAAAGAGGACUGAUGAUGGAGAUUACAUCGUCACAGACACGGAGUAUAACGAGAAACUUCAUAUUUCCUCAGUAACAGUAAGAGAUCAGAACAAAGAUCAGGAGUGUGAUCUACCAUUGUGGGCGAUCAUCCUGAUAGUGGUGUUGGUGCUUCUGGUUGCUGCACUGAUUGGAAUAAUCCUGUACCUGAGAGAAACAUAACACAGUAACCGAAGAGGUGAUG